GGGAGGGAGGGGCUUUACCCCGCCGCCUUCACGCAGCCCUGCCACAGUUCGACGCACGCGCUUAUAAAUACACAAGAGAAAGCAGGACACGCUCAGCCUAUCACAGGCCAGCAGUGUGCUGUGGAGGGUGUGGCCAAGGCACUGUUUGAUUUCUCUGCAGAGAGCGAAGAUGAGCUCACGCUAAAGGCUGGUGACGAUCAUAACGCAGGUGGAGCUGGUGGACGAGCAGUGGAUUUGGGAGCUGUGGGCGG